AUCUUUGGCUUGUUCCCGUCGGCUGUUCUGAGCCAGUGUGGCUGACGUCUGCAGCGGCCAUGGGUUCAAUGAUGAAGGAUUCCCAGAGAAAGAAGAAGAUCGUGGUUGGUUUCCUGGCUGUGUCCAUUGUGUCUCUGAUCCUUGGGCUCGGACUCGGUCUGGGAUUGGACCUGCAGAGGUGUUUAAACAAAGUCGUCCCAGUCACCUCCUGCAGGGCUCGGUGCUACCAGCCCUACGACCAGGUCCCAGGAUGCAGAUGUGAUGAGAACUGCCUCGCCAGCGGCAGCUGCUGCCAGGACUACCAGGACAUCUGCAAAGCACCAACCGAGCUGUGGGACUGCACCCGGCUGCGAUGUGGAGAGACCCGGCUGCAGCAGAGCAACUGUCACUGCUCCGACGACUGCCUGUCUGCAGGAGACUGCUGCAGCAACUACCAGCAUGUCUGCCACGGAGACACAACCUGGCUGCAGGAGGAGUGUGACGACCUGUCGACCCCCACGUGUCCAGCACACUUCAAGCAGCAGCCGCUGCUCCUGGUCUCGGUGGACGGGCUGAGGGCUGAGUAUCUGCAGACGUGGGGGUCUCUCAUCCCGGUUCUGGACAAACUCAGACGCUGUGGAACCUCCGCCCCGUACAUGCAGCCAGCGUUUCCCAGCAAGACGUUCCCCAACCACUACACCAUCGUCACAGGUCUCUACCCGGAGUCCAAUGGGCUGAUCGACAACAACAUGUACGACCCCGUGUUCGAUGCCAGCUUCAGUCUGUCCAACUCGGAGAAAGACAACCCCGCCUGGUACCUGGGACAGCCUAUUUGGCACACGGCAAAGUACCAGGGUCUGAAGUCCGGGACGUUUUUCUGGCCGGGAUCAGAGGUGAAAAUCAACGGCAGCUUCCCGAACCUCUACCGACCGUACGACGGUAAAGUGCCGUUUGAAGAGAGAGUGUUCACGGUGCUGAAGUGGCUGCAGCUGCCUGACGAAGAGCGGCCGGAUUUCUACACUCUGUAUCUGGAGGAGCCGGAUAAAUCUGGACACAGCUUCGGUCCUGUGAGCGGGGGGCUGAUCGACGCGCUGCGGGGCGUGGAUCAGAUCCUGGGUCAGCUGAUGAACGGCCUCAAGCAGGUCGGCCUGCACCGCUGUGUCAACAUCGUCAUUGUGGCCGAUCACGGUAUGGAGGACACGAGCUGCGACAGGAAGGAGGUGCUGCAGGAGCUGGUGGGCGACAUCAGCGGCUUGUGGGUCAACGAGGGGCCGUUCGGACGCAUCCGAGCCAGAAACAAAGACGCAGUCAUCGACUCGGCCGGACUCGUAGCAAACAUGACCUGUAAGAAACCAGGUCAGAAGGUCAAACCGUACCUGAAGGCCAAUCUGCCGAAGCGCCUCCACUUCGCCAACAGCCGGCGCAUCGAGGACGUCAACGUCCUGGUGGAAGCAAAAUGGCUGUUUGAGCGAUCUCCUGGUUCCCUCACGUUCUGCUCCGGUGGAACCCACGGCUACGACAACGAUGUGGAGAGCAUGCACGCCAUGUUUGUCAGUUAUGGACCAAAGUUUAAGAACCAAACAGAAAUCGAACCUUUCUCCAACAUCGAGCUGUACAAUCUGAUGUGUGACGUGCUGCAGAUUUCUCCCACCGACAACAACGGGACCCACGGCAGCAUGAACCACCUCCUGAGGCAGCCCUACUACUCACCAGCGCCCCCUGCAGAGCAGAGCGGGCCGGCCCAGUGCCCGCUGCUCAGCCUGGAGCCUGCAGACCCACUGGGAUGCUCCUGUCCUGCUCUGAUCACAGACGCCAUCAACAGUCGUCUGAAUCUGACGGAGCAACAAGAGCGGACGGCAGAGGAGCAGCACUUGUUGCUCGGUCGUCCUCGGGUGCUGCAGCCGGACCGGAGCUACUGCCUCCUGCACCAGGUGGGGUUCAUCAGCGGCUACAGCUCCGACGCCCUGAUGCCUCUGUGGAGCUCCUUCACCAUCGACAGGCCGAUCCACUCAGAUCCGCUGCCGCCGGUGACACCGAACUGCCUCAGGGCCGACGUCAGACUUCCUGCGUCCCACAGCCCGAGAUGUGACCAGUAUGAAGCAGCUGGGAAUCUGACGCAUGCUUUCCUCUACCCACCGAAUCUGAACACGACAGCAGAGCAACAGUUCGAUUCCCUACUGAUGAGUAAUGUGGUGCCAAUGUACCCAGAGUUUAAGAAGAUCUGGAACUACUUCCACAGCAGCUUGUUGAUGAAAUACGCCGACGUGUACAACGGCAUCAACGUGGUCAGCGGCCCCGUGUUCGACUACAACUACGACGGCCGGUUCGACUCUCCAGAGCAGAUCCAGCAGUGAGUUUCAUUUCAAGACUCUGACUUCACUCGGGUUUCAGUUAUAACAGAGGUUUUCAACUGGUUUUGUUACCAUUCUGACUAGAAAGUAAUCCGCGGCCCACUGAUGUGCCUACGGGUGUGUGAGUGCAUGCAUGUGGAUAGAAGUAAGUUUUAAAAUUUUGUUUUCUGUGUAGGUUUUAUUUAAAAACCUUAAAAAAAAUCUAGAUAUAUCAACUUAAAAACCUCAAACAAAUCAAGAAAAAUCCCUGUUUAUUGUUUAACACACAUGCACAGGGGGAAACUACUGGCAGUUUCUAGCCCCAAGCCGAUUUCAAGGUUCCCCUCAUCACCUUUAUAUUAUUUUAGACAUAUUUUUCUUAUUUUAGAUAUUUUUUCAGUAAUCUGGAAAUAUGUUGAAUAUCAAAGCGAAUUUCGCGGACCCCCUGCAAUGCCGUCGCGGACCACCAGGGGGCCGCGGACCCCUGGUUGAAAGCCCCUGAGUUAGAGGGAUUUGUGCUUCAUAAGAUUUUCAGAGCUGCACUGAAGUCCUGACGUGUUCCUGACGUGUUCCUGACGUGUUCCUGACGUGUUCCUGACGUGUUCCUGACGUGUCCAAAUUCUUACGUGUAAAUAAGAACAAAUGUCAGAGUCAGUGUCUCUGGACCUUUUCUGGGACUUGUCCUGCAGCCUCCUGGUAAAUGUGUCACUGGAAUGAGUCAAUGUGGAAUAAACCGAAGAUUUUAACAUGUUUUUAACACGUGAGCCUCAGGAGCAGUUUUCUCUGGAGGAGACGAGGAGUUAUCCUUCCUCUGUGUUUGAUUACAGGUUUGUGUCUGGAGGAGACGAGGAGUUAUCCUUCCUCUGUGUUUGAUUACAGGUUUGUGUCUGGAACCAACAUCCCCAUCCCCACUCAUUUCUUU